rnacentral:rRNA from 1 species
CCGAAUGGGGAAACCCAGUGUGACUCGUCACACUAUCAUUAACUGAAUCCAUAGGUUAAUGAGGCGAACCGGGGGAACUGAAACAUCUAAGUACCCCGAGGAAAAGAAAUCAACCGAGAUUCCCCCAGUAGCGGCGAGCGAACGGGGAGGAGCCCAGAGCCUGAAUCAGCAUGUGUGUUAGUGGAAGCGUCUGGAAAGGCGCGCGAUACAGGGUGACAGCCCCGUACACAAAAGCGCAUGUGCUGUGAGCUCGAUGAGUAGGGCGGGACACGUGGUAUCCUGUCUGAAUAUGGGGGGACCAUCCUCCAAGGCUAAAUACUCCUGACUGACCGAUAGUGAACCAGUACCGUGAGGGAAAGGCGAAAAGAACCCCGGCGAGGGGAGUGAAAAAGAACCUGAAACCGUGUACGUACAAGCAGUGGGAGCCCCACCAC